UGUUUCGGCUAGGGGGCCAUCCCGGCUUACCAACCCGAUGCAAACUGCGAAUACCGGAGAAUGUUAUCACGGGAGACACACGGCGGGUGCUAACGUCCGUCGUGAAGAGGGAAACAACCCAGACCGCCAGCUAAGGUCCCAAAGUCAUGGUUAAGUGGGAAACGAUGUGGGAAGGCCCAGACAGCCAGGAUGUUGGCUUAGAAGCAGCCAUCAUUUAAAGAAAGCGUAAUAGCUCACUGGUCGAGUCGGCCUGCGCGGAAGAUGUAACGGGGCUAAACCAUGCACCGAAGCUGCGGCAGCGACACUGUGUGUUGUUGGGUAGGGGAGCGUUCUGUAAGCCUGUGAAGGUGUGCUGUGAGGCAUGCUGGAGGUAUCAGAAGUGCGAAUGCUGACAUAAGUAACGAUAAAGCGGGUGAAAAGCCCGCUCGCCGGAAGACCAAGGGUUCCUGUCCAACGUUAAUCGGGGCAGGGUGAGUCGACCCCUAAGGCGAGGCCGAAAGGCGUAGUCGAUGGGAAACGGGUUAAUAUUCCCGUACUUGGUGUUACUGCGAAGGGGGGACGGAGAAGGCUAUGUUGGCCGGGCGACGGUUGUCCCGGUUUAAGCGUGUAGGUGUGUGUUCCAGGUAAAUCCGGUUCACUUUAACACUGAGGCGUGAUGACGAGGCACUACGGUGCUGAAGCAACAAAUGCCCUGCUUCCAGGAAAAGCCUCUAAGCAUCAGGUAACAUCAAAUCGUACCCCAAACCGACACAGGUGGUCAGGUAGAGAAUACCAAGGCGCUUGAGAGAACUCGGGUGAAGGAACUAGGCAAAAUGGUGCCGUAACUUCGGGAGAAGGCACGCUGACACGUAGGUGAAGUGAUUUACUCACGGAGCUGAAGUCAGUCGAAGAUACCAGCUGGCUGCAACUGUUUAUUAAAAACACAGCACUGUGCAAACACGAAAGUGGACGUAUACGGUGUGACGCCUGCCCGGUGCCGGAAGGUUAAUUGAUGGGGUCAGCGCAAGCGAAGCUCCUGAUCGAAGCCCCGGUAAACGGCGGCCGUAACUAUAACGGUCCUAAGGUAGCGAAAUUCCUUGUCGGGUAAGUUCCGACCUGCACGAAUGGCGUAAUGAUGGCCAGGCUGUCUCCACCCGAGACUCAGUGAAAUUGAACUCGCUGUGAAGAUGCAGUGUACCCGCGGCAAGACGGAAAGACCCCGUGAACCUUUACUAUAGCUUGACACUGAACAUUGAGCCUUGAUGUGUAGGAUAGGUGGGAGGCUUUGAAGCGUGGACGCCAGUCUGCGUGGAGCCGACCUUGAAAUACCACCCUUUAAUGUUUGAUGUUCUAACGUGGACCCGUGAUCCGGGUUGCGGACAGUGUCUGGUGGGUAGUUUGACUGGGGCGGUCUCCUCCUAAAGAGUAACGGAGGAGCACGAAGGUUGGCUAAUCCUGGUCGGACAUCAGGAGGUUAGUGCAAUGGCAUAAGCCAGCUUGACUGCGAGCGUGACGGCGCGAGCAGGUGCGAAAGCAGGUCAUAGUGAUCCGGUGGUUCUGAAUGGAAGGGCCAUCGCUCAACGGAUAAAAGGUACUCCGGGGAUAACAGGCUGAUACCGCCCAAGAGUUCAUAUCGACGGCGGUGUUUGGCACCUCGAUGUCGGCUCAUCACAUCCUGGGGCUGAAGUAGGUCCCAAGGGUAUGGCUGUUCGCCAUUUAAAGUGGUACGCGAGCUGGGUUUAGAACGUCGUGAGACAGUUCGGUCCCUAUCUGCCGUGGGCGCUGGAGAACUGAGGGGGGCUGCUCCUAGUACGAGAGGACCGGAGUGGACGCAUCACUGGUGUUCGGGUUGUCAUGCCAAUGGCACUGCCCGGUAGCUAAAUGCGGAAGAGAUAAGUGCUGAAAGCAUCUAAGCACGAAACUUGCCCCGAGAUGAGUUCUCCCUGAGACUACGAGUCUCCUGAAGGAACGUUGAAGACGACGACGUUGAUAGGCCGGGUGUGUAAGCGCAGCGAUGCGUUGAGCUAACCGGUACUAAUGAACCGUGAGGCUUAACCUU
rnacentral:rRNA from 2 species